rnacentral:rRNA from 1 species
UACGGGGGGGUAAGGCGUUGUUCGGAAUUACUGGGCGUAAAGGGCUCGUAGGCGGCCAACUAAGUCAUACGUGAAAUCCCUCAGCUUAACUGGGGAACUGCGUGUGAUACUGGAUGGCUUGGAUUUGGGAGAGGGAUGGCGGAAUUCCAGGUGUAGCGGUGAAAUGCGUAGAUAAUCUGGAGGAACACCGGUGGCGAAGGCGGCGAUCCUGGACCAAUAUUGACGCUGAGG